CGAUAGCUGUCACGACUUGGUCCUUGACGUGGUUUACUCUCCCGUGGUGCAAACGAAUUGGACCAUACGCGGCGUGCAGAGACCCAAGAACCCAGCGGCGGAGACUAGGCCGGCGGAAGCUGGACUUGAAUCUGGAACACUCAAGUUGCUGGCACGGCCUCUCUACCAUCUGAGCCACACCGCCCCAAGGACGCAUUCCAAUGCGCCCUCAUCUUUGCGCUCUGCUUGCCGCGCCUUGGGCAAUCAGCGUACCUGGACCUGAUGAGAGGGAGCUGUAUAAAGGACCAGUGGACCCGAGGAUCCAUGCGGGAACUUAAUUUACCCUUGGUGUACCUUCCUUCCCGAGUCUUACCAGUUGUUUCCCCCGUGGUUUUGGACUGCCUUCCUCGAUCCUCGACCCUCGCUCUGGACACGGACUCUGACGCCGCUCUCUGCCCCACGGACCUCACACGGAUCACGGACCCCUUUUGCCUAGUCCCCUUUGGAUCUGUCUGCUUCCUCAUCCAACAUCACGGUAACACACAACAGUUAAUUACACACAUAGUUUAACACCACACACACACUCUUGGAUUUUGGUCACACACUCCA